ensembl:lncRNA
CCAGCUGAGUGGCUCUCAGCAGUAUUAAUUUAAUUCAGUUUACUUAAUUUUAAUGCUUUUGAAAUAUCAUAACUAAAAUAGUGACUGGGUGAAUGAAGAGAUUUAUCAACAUGUUUGAGCUCGUUUGAUAUCCAAAAGAUCUCAAAGAUGAUAGUAUGGAGAACUGAUGACUUUUGAAAUUUUCUGCAGUAAAACAGCAACCAUCCUGAAACGUAUUGUAUUUGAAGCUUGAAUAAAAGAAGAAAAAAGCAUCAAACAUUUUUUUUUCACAGCAAGGAGACAUAUCGCAGAUAGCUUAAUGGAAGGCAAGAAUUUAAGGAUAUGAAGAGGUAUAUUUGCCUGCAACAGAAGCCCAAGUCCAAGCCACAAGAAGUGACGAACCAAAUCAAAUUGAAAUGUCAUGAAUAUCUUUGUCUUGAGCACACACUUUUUCACUAUCUAGCACCGUAAGUGCUACACUUAAAAAAUGAGAUGAGAAAUGUUAAAGAGAAACGAAUGCAUAAUGCUUUGAAAGAUCAAUGAAGUAGCUACUUAUCUGCACAGUGGUUUUAUUACUUUCAGCAAGGAACAUAAAUUUCAGCAGCAUAGCAGCAGUAUCCUAUGGCUCGACAAGGUAGUGUAACGACAGAUGAAAAUGCUGAGAAGGUUCAAAGCCACCUGAGGAAGGGUUUCUUAGCAACAGACAGGACCAUGAACCUAAGGAAGAGAAUGUGAUCAAGUUCUUAAUGUUAUAAACAAAAAUGAGAUAUUGAUGUCUCUAAUACAUGCAUUUUUACUAUGUAACCAGCUUAAAUGAUAUGCUGACACUUCAUUACAUUCAAAAAUCUUACAGUGCCUGUCUUGUAAUCAUCCACAGCAUGCAGAAGCAUAAGCAAGAAUAAACCUCCAGAAUAGGUAGUGCCCUACAAACAAAUCAUUUUGCUGUAUUGAUUAUCCUUCAAAAAAGAAGCUGUAAGGAAGUGAAUUCAAACCACUGACAAUUAUAAAACCCAAAUAAAAUCUAAUUCAUAAGGGAAAAAUCACUUUGCAAUUCAUCCAGAGAAAACCUCUAAAUUGUACAGACUGGGCUUGUAAUGCCAUGUGGCAGAUGAAGAGGGAAUUCAGUUUCGUUGAGGAUUAGAUAAAAAAUGAACAGUUCAGCAAUAAUUAUUUUAGCAUUUGGAAAAUUAAGCUUCCCGUUACCCCAUAGUAACAGACGUGGUCCUUUCUCACCAUAAGCUAUUUCCAUAAUGAUCAUUAAUUCUUUCCCUGCUACUCUGGAGUCACACACACACACACACACACACAGAGUGAUCAGCAAAAGUUGCAACGGUGAAAGAGCUUCUGUCUUCUGUUACAAAUGACUACUUUCACAACAGAAUCUGCAGAAAGCAACAAGCCUACCACUAUGCUGGCUGCCAGGUUAGUUCGACCUGUCGGUGAAGGAUUUGAAUUAACCCUGCACUAAAGCACCUAGGGGAUGUUUAUAUUUCCUGUUAUGCUGAUUAAUAUGAGAGGGUAAUAAAAAAAAAAGCUGAAUAAAAAGAAAAGAUAUAGAAGGAGCAUGGUGAAUGCUUAUUUGCUGAGAUCACCAUAAUGAAAGAGACCAAAAAUAACAGACUGAAAAACAAGUUAAAAAAUAAUCUUCUUCCUCCUUGUUUUUUUUUUUUUUUCCUAAGAGAGGUGCAAUUUUAAUGUAAACUGGUCUGAAAAAAUAUAAAAAAAA